AGCUUUGCGCAGUGGCAGUAUCGUAGCCAAUGAGGUUUAUCCGAGGCGCGAUUAUUGCUAAUUGAGAAUCUUCCUCACAGUGAAGUCACAAUGUUACCCCUCCCCAGCCCUGUAAAAAAACAAAAACAAAAACAAAACCCACUUUUAAAAAUAAGUCAUUUUUUUUUAAGAUUUUAUUU
rnacentral:snRNA from 13 species